GAUCCUGGUCUUAUCAUCAGUUUUCUUUUAACUUACACAUGCAAGUAUCUGCACAACCGUGAAAACGCCCUUUAACCUCCCCCAGACUAAGGAGCCGGUAUCAGGCACAGAACUCUGGCCCAUGACACCUAGUAUACACCACGCCCCCAAGGGUUAUUCAGCAGUGAUAAAUAUUGCCCCAUAAGCGCUAGCUUGAAUCAGUUAAGAAGAACAGGGCCGGCAAAUACGGUGCCAGCCGCCGCGGCUACACCGAUAGGCUCAAGCUGAUGACUCUCGGCACUAAGCGUGGUUAGAAGUAUAUACGUAGAGUAAAACAUUCACUUUAGCAGUAAUAAGCUUGCUGUCUGGAACACUAAACGAUCACUCUAAUAACCCCUCGAACCCACGACAACUAGGUGAACAAACUGGGAUUAGAUACCCCACUAUGCCUAGUCGUAAAUUUACUAACGCCAGGGGACUACAAGCCUAGCUUGAAACCCAAAGGAUUUGACGGUGUCCCACCCAUCUAGAGGAGCCUGUCCCAUAAUCGAUAAUCCCCGUUUUACCCCACCACUUCUUACUCAGCCUAUAUAUCGCCGUCGUAAGCCCACCAUGCGAAUGCAAGUGAGCUAAAUGGCUUUUACUCCCAUACGUCAGGUCAAGGUGUAGCUCAUGAAGUGGGGCGAGAUGGGCUACAAUUUCUAAAAUAGAACAAACGGAAAGCUUAAUGAAACUUAUUAUUGAAGGUGGAUUUAGUAGUAAAAAGAGGCAGAGUACUCUUUUUAACUUGGCACUGGGACGUGUACACACCGCCCGUCACCCUCUUUGACAAUAUAAGGCCCAACAGCCUGACAGUACUAGAAGAGGCAAGUCGUAACAUGGUAAGCGUACUGGAAGGUGCGCUUAGUUCAACAAACCAUAGCCUAACUUAAAGCGCCUCGCUUACACCGAGUAGAUGUUUAUUAACCUAAACUGGUUUGAGCCUAAAAUCUAGCCCAACAUCUUUAUACCCUGCCCGAUUUUACUUAAAACAUUUGUAUUCUUCAGUAGAGGCGAUCAAAAAACUUCUUAGAGCUAAAGACCCAGUACCGCAAGGGAAUGAUGAAAUAGCAAUGAAAUAAACCUAAAGCCUAAAAAAGCAGAGCCCAUCCCCCGUACCUUUUGCAUCAUGGUUUAACUAGUCAAACGAAGCAAAAUAAACUUUUAGUUAAACACCCCGAAACUUAGCGAGCUACUUCGAAAUGGCUUUUUAGAGCUAACCCGUCUCUGUUGCAAUAGAGUGGGAAAAUUUUCAAGUAGAGGCGAUAAACCUACCGAGCUAAGAGAUAGCUGGUUAUUCAGGAAAAGAAUUUUAGUUCUGCUUUAAGACUUGCCUAUUCCCUCAAACAAAUUCUCAAGCUUAAAAGUUAUUCAAAUAGGGCACAGCCUGUUUGAAAUAGGACUCAGCCUAAAAUUUAGGGUAAAAUUCUAGCACAGUAAAAAAGUAGGCCUAAAAGCAGCCAUCUUUCUAAAAGCGUUAAAGCUUAUUUACACUUGCAUAAUAGAUCCCACAUGUAUCUUUAAACCCUACACCAGUACUGAAUGAUUCUAUAUCUUUAUAAAAUACCCCCUGUUAAAACUAGUAACAAGAAUCUGAAUUUCUCUUAAAUACAAACUUAAGCCAACAUUGACCCUGCUGGUAUUUAACGUAAAUGACCCGACUAUAGCAACUUUCCCCUGAAAAACCUAUAAUCCCCUGCGUUACCCUAACACUAGCGUAUUAGAAGAAAGAUUAAAAGAGAGUGAAGGAACUCGGCAAAUACCAGCUCCGCCUGUUUACCAAAAACAUCGCCUCCUGCUCACCUAUAGGAGGUCCAGCCUGCCCGGUGACAAAGUUUAACGGCCACGGUACCCUAACCGCGCAAAGGUAGCAUAAUCACUUGUUCUUUAAAUAAGGACCUGUAUCAACGGCAUCACGAGAGCUGAACUGUCUCCCCCCUCUAAUCAGUGAACCUGACCUCUUCGUGAAAAAGCGAAGAUGAAAUUACAAGACGAGAAGACCCCAUGGAGCUUAAGACUAUUUAACACACUUUUUAUUUUAAACCCUAAAAAAUAAAGGAUCUGCUAACUAGUUUUUGGCUGGGGCAUCCAAGGAGUAAAAUAUAACCUCCCUAACAAAACAUCUUAGAGCUACAACUCCAAGCGGCAGCAAACUGAUGUAAAUGACCCGAUUUUCGAUCAAUGAACCAAGUUACCCUGGGGAUAACAGCGCAAUCCAUUUUGAAAGCCCCUAUCGACAAAUGGGUUUACGACCUCGAUGUUGGAUCAGGGUAUCCCAGUGGUGCAGCCGCUACUAAAGGUU
rnacentral:ncRNA from 1 species